GAACACUCUUGCUCAGCUAUGCUCACCCCACUCCAGGCCUGCAGCCUCUCUCCAAGCAGCAGCACCCAGUCGGCCUUAAGAGCUCUCCCUCCCUGCAGGGCCCUCACUUGUUCCAUAUUUGCUGCAGCUGUUGCUAAAUUAAUCCCUUCAAUGUUCAACUGGUAGAACUGCAGGGUAUGUACAAGCUUGUGGCUGUAUCUGACCGUGGGCUCCUGUGCAAUAUUCACCAUGGUGCAGAACCGCUGGCUGCUCAUUUCUAAGUGCCACCGGUUCUGUCUCUGCUGGACUGCUCCUGAUGCCACCCUGCUCUUCUCCCUACCACUGCACUGAGCUUGUGUCCUCCCAAAGGCUUUACAGUCUUCAGAGACCAAGGAAGGAACAGUGAGAGAACAAAUACUGAGAAAACACUUCCAGUCAUGUACAGGAUGGGUACAACCUGAGAAUGGGUCAUUCACAGACCUCAGAACUGCCCCUCUGCAUCAGUAAAACCACAUCUCACUCCUUCCCCUUUCUUCCCCCUGUUAUCUAGGCACUGUCAGCACUUCCCUUCUUCCCUUACCAGCCAGUUCUUUGUAUGCCCUGAGUUUGGCACCCUAAUCUUCGUUAAGCUUUUACUUUUCCUAAGGCUUUUCCUAAGUAGAAAAGAGACUGCCUUAGCAGAAGGAUAAGCAGGGCCAUUUGAGAAGAUGCCUAUUUUUAUCUUCAUAUGUUAUCUCAAACGAUGCUGAGCAGGGCAAAAGGCACCGAAUUUCACCUCGGCAUUACAGCACUGUGGAAACAAACAUGCAUCUUGUUAGAGUGUAAACAGCAGCCACAGAGCUCCCCUUGUUACCCGCGCUGACGGAUCUGUAUGAUAAUUGCCGGCUAGGAUGACUGUGUCCCUCUCAGGCCGGAGGUAACCGCAUUAUACAGUCAGAAGCCUCGCUGAAUUCUGUGGCCAUCAGCCUGCACAAAAACACGAAGUUAAAAUUGUUUCUUUGAAUUCAAACGGGAUCAAUACCUCUCAGGAGACAGAUGGGGUUUUCUUUGCUGCACUGAAAAAAGAAUCAGUGUCUGGAGUCCUGGCUCAAAGUACUCAUUCAGCUACAGAACAACACCAGGAAAAAUCAGCAGAGAGUGGGCACCUGCUCUUUUCCUUGAUCAGCCCUGGAUCUCAGAAUUUGAUGUUUUAUAUAAAGGGAGCUUGCUGUUGCUCUUGCAUGCUGCUUCUGAAACGAUACAGUCUGGCUCAGGCAAGAAGGGCAUGUUUAUUCUUUCUCGGAGCUUUUUCAUUUUUACUUGUAGCUGAAUCCUCUAGGUCAAUUGUAUCUGCAGGGGUGGGAGAGGAAUUUAAUUGCUUUUACUUCCUACCUUCAUCUCAGGGUGACCAGUCCAUUAAUAAUGCACAGGAAGCGACUAAGAAAUGCAUGGUAGAUUAGGGAUUAAUUGAUAUUUGGAAAGAUUUCAAUCCACAUUUGAAGGAAAAGGUUACACACUGUAGUCCAGCUCUAGUUACUAUUUGCAUUUGAUUAUUUUAUUAUUUCUUACAGCCCUGCUUCUUCUGGUUUUAGAUAUGUUUUCCCCCUUCCUUGGCUAUUUAUGAAGAAUUUCCUUGUUUAUUUCUUGCUAGAGAUGUCUGUCACAUUUCUGAUACAUGCCACCCCCUAUCAAAUAAAUAAAUACAUUUAUCUGUAUUUUCCAGUAAUUAUGUUUUUCUCUGCACUGACACUGCCCACAGUUCCUUUAUGAGCAAUUUGACUUUCCAAAACGUUAUUGAUUUCUGUGCUUGGAAGUUACAAGAUUAAUAGCUUUAGAGGCAUAAGUCCUUCAAUCCUGUCACCAAAUAGGAGCUCCAAGCUUGCUUCAGUGCCUGCUGAUGUGCUUCAACACAUCAUUUUUAGGAAGAGACAUGAGCCAGGCACUGCUCAAAUCAAAAAGGCCCUAAAAUACAGGAAAGAGAUGGUUAAUUGCAAUGAUGUCGGGGCAGGAAGGUAGGAUUUAGUUGGUUUGAAAAUGACUAGCGUGACGCCUUGACUAGUUUUGCCUAGAUUGCCCCAUUGAGAUGGAAAUGACUUCAGUAACUUUUUAGCGGUUUUAAAGAGUGCAAAGCAGCUAAUCUUGACUCUAGCAGUCAGGAGCCUAUGAGAAAAGACGAGAAGAGCCAAUAGAAAAGAUGUAUCGGAUUCUUUAAAGACCUUGAAAAAUUCACCCCAUCUUCUCCUGAUGUGAGUUACAUUAAAAAUAGACUAAAGUUCGGAAUAUAACACAGAUGUCCAGUUACAAGCACUUUGAUAAUGUUAGGUGAAUCGGACAAAGACCUUUUGAGGCCCCCUGGUGCUAUGGCAGCUUUUAUGAUGGUAUUUGCAUUGAAGAGUAAUGGAUUCUCCUAAGCAGCUAGAGGCAGACAAUUUGGAAGAGUUUCAAGCUACUAAAUGCACACCACAGAGAGACACUGACGACUGUAAAAUUUGAGUGGCCACCUCAAUUUAGCACUAAAAUGUCAAAGGAGAGGUAGACCUGCAUUGCAUGUGUUGUACCACGAAGAAUUUGGAAUACUGAUCACGGAAAUCUAUUUUAAAUUAUUUUCUGCUCCUAAGGAAGCAGAGCUAGGCUAGUUAGCAGAGGGUGGUAAGAUGCAGCGUGUGAGUAAAGUACAACAGUGAGGAUGGCUCUCCAUGGCAGUAAUCAACUUGGGACUGGAGAAGUUCACCUCCCCGUCACUCAGAGGAAGUAAAGGUCACAUCUUAAGUGAUUUUUGUUGUCCUAACAGUGAGUGUUUUGCACCCCAAAUGCAGUUCUGUUUUUUGUCCCCCCCCCCGUCUGACAGCCCAAGAGGAAGGGACAGUCGCUGAAAUGUAAAAGGCAUCUCAGGAUGAUGCCCCGGAGGAAUCUUUGCUCAACCUCACCGCAUCGUGGUGAUAACAGCUGCUGGAUACGCCACCGUGUUUCCACUGCAGGACAUCUCAACCCAGGCUGCAAUUUUAUUCAAAAAUCCACUUUCCAGUGAGUAAGAAUGCCUCCACGCUCUGCAGCUCGCUGUGGUCACAAGCUCCCACUGAAGCAUUUGAGGAGAGAAGGCUCCGUGAAACUUCAGCUGCUAUUUUGUUUUCCACCUGAUCUCUACAGGACCCCAGAGACAGUCAUGUACAAAGCUCUGGCCCCAGUGGGUUUUCUGGCAUAGAGGAAUGACCAAGAAUGACAGAAGUUAGUGCAACUUGAGAAAUCAUUACAGCACACAGCAAUACCAGUCCUUAAGUAGUCAUCUGGAAGGUCAGCUGAAGACAGUGGGACAAAAACAGUAACGAAGGCCAAUCUCAGUUCCUAAUUGCCAAUAUAUUCAGACAUACGUACCAAGCAGCAAAGGAAAACAGAACUAAGGAAUUCGGAAGAACUGGCUUGUAAAGAGAAGCAGGCCAACUACCCUUUCCUUCCUAAUCAUAAUGUUUUAGUACAACAGAAUAA